rnacentral:lncRNA from 1 species
UCCCAACAUUACUGUCCAUCCUUAUAAUUAAUUAUUUGAAUUUAAAAAUUAAAAGAGAGAGAUAAUGAGUUUGAUAGCUCAAUAAGUAAUAAAUAUUUCAACUAGAUAUUUCAGAUAUUAUAUAAUAUUCAAGAAUAAUACUGUGAAUAGAUAAAAAAAUAUAUUUCAUACUAAUUCAAUACAAAACCAAUCUUUUUAAAUAUUUAUAUAUAAUAUAAUCAUAAAUCUGAUUCAAAUCAAAAUACUCAUAACUCAAUAGCUAUGACUAUGAUCAAUGUUUAACCCCUAUUGAUGAGGUCCAUUAAAUACCAGCGCACCACCCC